rnacentral:rRNA from 1 species
UAGGCUGAAACCCGCCUGCAUGAAGUCGGAGUUGCUAGUAAUCGCGGAUCAGCAUGCCGCGGUGAAUGCGUUCCCGGGCCUUGUACACACCGCCCGUCACACCACCCGAGUCGUCUGCACCCGAAGCCGCCGGCCCAACCUUGCGAGGGAGGCGUCGAAGGUGUGGAGGGUGAGGGGGGUGAAGUCGUAACAAGGUAGC